rnacentral:lncRNA from 1 species
CCAGCCAGUUGCAGCAGCAUGGAAUGUGCCUCCUUGCUGCUCUUGGAGCUAUGGCUGCUCAGGAGAGCUGCUGACCUUCACUGCUGCCUUCUGGAAGUUUUUGUGUGCCAACAGCCCUGAGGGAGACCCUGAGCACCCUGUGCUUGGAAAGAGGAGGUGCAGAGGCAACGCCCAGAAAUGUCAGAGCUCUGCAGAGGAUUGGAGCAGGGGACCUACAUGUCCCAAAACAGCUUUACAGAGGAUGUGCCAGUCUGGGGAUCAAUCUCUGCCUCAGAAGAAGUGCCUGGAAGUAAGAUGUGCUUGGUUACUGGUGACUGGUGCCUCCCUUUUCCCUCCUCUGCUGCUGAGCUGUGAACAGUUGGACUCAUAGGGUAAGGAGAGAGAAUGGGAGGUGUUUGUGCUCAGGACUUCCCCACAGGCAGC